CAUGAGGCCCUCUCGAGAAUGGGAGGGCUGGCAAAGCUGUAGCCAUGUGACCGCAUGGCUAUAGCCUAUGUGGUCGCAUGGUUGAUAUUUGUGAUUGUUGUGAGCCAUUUUUGACCUUUUUUAUUUGAAAUUAGUGGCUUUUCAUUCUUGUUUUGCACCAUUUCAUGAAAAACUUGCCAAUGCCUAUAAAUAGGUGAUCCAAGUGCAAGAAAGACAUAUUGAGUUCUAUUGAAAUUUAUCCCCCAAAUUAUACUUCUAAUAUUGAGAAAAUUUAUCACAUAAUUCUUCAAUUUUUCACUUGUUCAUUGUGAAGAUACACCUUUGCUUUUUUGUGUUUUUCUUAUCAAGGUUUGUUUAAUCCUACAAAUUAUUUGCCGAAAAUCCUUAAAAAGUAUUGGAAAUGAGGCAAAUAACGUUUGAGGACAGUUAAAUUAAUUUCGUGUUUAAGCCUUCGUUGAUGUACUUUUAUAAUUUUCUUCUCUAUUGCCAUUAUUUUUUCAACAUUUCAUUUGAAGCUUCUGCAGUGAGGAGUGUGAACGUUAUUACUAAUAUCCAAGUAUUCACCUCCAGAAUUCAAUGAUUCAUCUAAAUCUAAUUUCAGGUAAAGACUCGUGUUAGUGUUCAUGCUAUCUUGAACAAGAUAAACAUAAGUAAAAGUGGUCAGUUUUCUGCCCGUGAUAUUCAAAAGUUCAUGAGAGAAAUUCUGUUUCAUUUGAAGCUUCUGUAGCGAAGAUGGUGAAUAUUUCUACUGAUUGUCUUAAUUACCAGAGGGCUGGACACUAAAGUUGAUCUGAAUGGAGGCAGUUCAGACACAAGAAGUGAGCUUCCGUCAAUGUGCCCAGGGAAAUCAAUUCUGAUUUGCGGCAGAGUUCCAUUUCUGCAGUUGAUUGUGAAAAGGUCAAAAAUAGACUUCGAAGUUGGAUGGCCCUGAGAAAGGCUAAGUAUUGUGCAGGAAGGAAAAAAGAAACAUAGACAAACAGUGGGUGGGAUUUUCAAGUAAGCGUAUGUUUUGUUCAUGCAGACUGUAUCGCCCAUUAAAGGAGAUAUUUUGCAGGGACAGGUCUUCUUCUUUAUUUAUUUAUUUAUUUUGAUCGGUAAAUGUGAAAUUCUAUUGAUUAAAAAUCAUAUACAAAUACACGAGGCAUACUUGCGCAAACAACAUUCAAGUGAAGAUUAAAAAUACUUUGGGCAUAUCUGGGCAAACAAAAUGAAAGAUGUUCAAAUGAUAAUAGUUAUGGACCCAAUGCUAAAGAUUCAAAAUGGUUUACAACAUGAACAUGACUUUGUAUACGUAUGCUUUAAUCCGUCUAAUAAUACAAUCAACUUGUGAUCUAAGGUUCUCAAAUAUCCUCUUAUUCCGCGCCAUCCAUAUGUGACAAACUGUAGCAGCUAAAGCAAUUCUCUUGACCUUACUUUGCCAAGCCGUUCCCCAAGCUUCCUUCUUCACCCAUUUCAAUGAGCUUGAUAAAGUAGGCAUAUUACGUGUGAUUGCUAGCCAACUGCAAAUCUACCCCGAAACUGAAAUUCAUAAGUUGCCUGAAUGCUAAAUCUAUUGCCACAACCCAUUUGGCCAGCUUGUGCAUUCUUGCCUGAACGCACUGUUCAGGUCCCAUGAUGCUGUCCCUGAUUUCCAACAAUUUUUUAAGCAGGGGAGAGUUGUCUUUUCUCACCGUGCAUUCCAAAAUGAUCGACAGGUCUUUUUCUUAGUCAGAUGGAAAGUUACGUGGCCAGGCAGGCAAAGAUAAGCUGGCAAACUGAGGUUAGAUUGUCUUUAUCAUAACAAUACUUGGUUUUAUCUCUGUCCAUACUAUCCUCCCUUUGCAUGCAUGUCAAGCCAGUCAUCAAAGACUGCCAGCACACUUGACAGCAAGCCUUACAACUGCAGGAUUAGGAUCUGCCUAGCAUUGGGAAAGAGAUGGUAUACAGUUGAACUUCUGGAGGAUAAACCACCCCAGAUUCCAGGAGAUUUGACGGCUAGCUAGCAGAACCUGGAAAUGCUGCAAGACAGGCUUCCUUUCCCACUCUAAUCUCUAAGAUGUGCUGUUGGUAUUUCAUAUCCCCAUUUGUUUGAAUGUUAUGCGAUGCGUACUUGGACAUUGUUAGAAUUUGAAUAUAAUUGGAAUAACAUUGCCAUCCACAGGUGUAAAGCUAUACUAUGUUACAUAUUUGGUGAGAGUUUUCAUAUUUCGUGAGAGUUUUCAAGAUUGAUACAAUAUUGUUAUAAUUCACACUAAUUUACAACAUUUUGAGAUGAAAAUAUAUAUUCGAAAUUGCUGUCAUUCCAGAAAAGUAUUCAUAAAAGACUUGGACAUUCUACUGUAAGUUUUUCACUAU
rnacentral:lncRNA from 1 species